GCAAAUCUCUUAAAGCCGUUCUCAGUUCGGAUUGUAGGCUGCAACUCGCCUACAUGAAGUCGGAAUCGCUAGUAAUCGCGGAUCAGCAUGCCGCGGUGAAUACGUUCCCGGGCCUUGUACACACCGCCCGUCACACCAUGAGAGUUUGUAACACCCAAAGCCGGUGGGGUAACCUUUUGGAGCCAGCCGUCUAAGGUGGGACAGAUGAUUGGGGUGAAGUCGUAACAAGGUAGC
rnacentral:rRNA from 1 species